AAUCACUCACAGCACAAAAUGCACUUUUUUUAAUUCCACAAACCAACACAAUAACAGCACAAAGGGUGGUUUUAUUAAUGAAAACGCCAUUUUCUCGGUUUAAUUAGAUUUAAAACGACGCACAUGGUGCUUCGCGUGCCACGCGAGCUAUAAUUUCCAUGGUGUUUACCAUUUUCGACCUUAUGGUCAUGCUGGUUAAGAUGGACAGGUGUUGGGUUGGCGAAACGACGGUUAGUGACACGGUUUAUUGGAAUUUAUUAACUUGGUGGAAAAGAAAUGGGCAAAACAACAACAAAAUAUGAAAAAAAAAGUUUCCUUCGAGCCGGAUUUGAACCAGCGACCUAUGGAUAGCCACGUUUGAUGCCACUACAGUCCACCGCUCUACCAACUGAGCUAUCGAAGGUUGUUGCUCGGUUUAGCCCACAAGCUGGAUAAAAACCGCCACGACAAUUUAAUUUUUGAUUUUUAAUUUAAUUAACAAUUAUCAUGAAUCUUAAUUAUGUAUUAUUUUGAUAUUUUUAUUGUGAUUUAUUAAAAUGGUAACGUGGAUGACAA